AAGAGGACUCAUGCCAAAGGCAUUUCCUCUAUUUGAUUCCACCAGGGAGAGAAGAGAACCAGCAAGCUACAACAGUGAGCAGAUUAAAGUAGUUGUCACUUCCAUCUGAGGGGAUGUCAGAGGGAGCCUUUCCGCAAUAAUCCACCGGAAUGCAGAGACUGGCCCUUGGGAGCCAUACAGAGCAUGGUUCCAGGACAUGUCCAGGCCCAUCACCCAUGACCAACCGUGUGAUAUCCUGAAGCAAGGCCCCAAAGACCAACAGUGCGACAUCCUGAAGCAAGGUCACUGGAGCAAUCCAUUGGAAAGAUCAUUCCAUCAUCCAGCCUGUCCUGAAGUUGUCAGGGGCCUCAUUUAUAAAUGUUGUGUACGAAUAAAAUAUGCCCCAAAAUGUGCGUGCGCCAGUUCAUGCAAAAGUUAGCUUUUGUAAAAACUGAAUGUGCUUAUCCUCCCGCAAACUUUAGACCAUGCGUUCGCAGUUUCUAGUGGUUGAAGUAUUGCUUGGCAAGAAGGCAAAAGUAGCCUAGUAGUAGCCUUGUCCUUGUGAAAAUUGGGACUCUAUGAUGACACUCUUAUUAAAAAAAAAAAGUAAUAAACAGGUAGCUAAAUAUAAUAAGAUGCAAUCAUUGGCCAUUAGUGAGAAGAGCGAAAAUCUAUUUAUUUUAUCUUGGCUUUCUAAACUAAUUAGAAAUAGGCAUGUAUUUCCAAUAAUGUAUUUAAUUUCCAUGAUCGUUGCAGAAUACAUUUCUCAACAUUUCUGGCCAUGAUGAGUUCAUACUGUAUUCCUGAAGUAGCCACACAACAAAUGACCAUGCACAUCGCUCGUUUAAUUGGACCUAUUACAUACGCUAUUAUAAUUUAAAGCAAUGUCAUACAUCUGGCGGGGAGCUUGGUUUAUAAUAUACAGUAGAAUUUAGCAGGUGAACGGACACUUGAUCUUUUGCAUUGAAGUGUGUAGGCUACCACUGUAAGUAGGCCUAGGGCCUACUGUAGUUUUCAUUCUUUUUAGAGCAGACAAUGUUUCAGAAUUCUCAGACAGCGCAGCAUAUUCACAUUCUGGAAAAUGUUUUUGUCUUUCAGAAAUGGUCAGAUAGGCCUACAGCAAAUGUCACUGCAAAAGAAAACAUUCUGCCAACACCUCCAAAGACAUUUGAUCAUGUUUGCCAUGCAUUGCUAUUUC